UACGGGGGGAGCAAGCGUUGUUCGGAUUUACUGGGCGUAAAGGGCGCGUAGGCGGCCUUAUAAGUCAUGUGUGAAAGCUCUGGGCUCAACCCAGGAAUUGCAUGUGAUACUGUAAGGCUUGAGUUCGGUAGAGGAGGGCGGAAUUCCAGGUGUAGCGGUGAAAUGCGUAGAUAUCUGGAGGAACACCCGUGGCGAAGGCGGCUCUCUGGUCCGAAACUGACGCUGAGGUGCGAAAGCUAGGGUAGCAAACAGG
rnacentral:rRNA from 1 species